rnacentral:tRNA from 1 species
GCCCGGCUAGCUCAAUCGGUAGAGCGUGAGACUCUUAAGUACACGAUCUAACAACUCGAUUACUCGGUAUCUCAAGGUUGUGGGUUCGACCCCCACGUCGGGCU